UGGCGGACGGGUGAGUAACGCGUGGGUAACCUGCCUCAUACAGGGGGAUAACAGUUAGAAAUGACUGCUAAUACGGCAUAAGACCACAGCACCGCAUGGUGCAGGGGCAAAAACUCCGGUGGUAUGAGAUGGACCCGCGUCUGAUUAGGUAGUUGGUGGGGUAACGGCCUACCAAGCCGACGAUCAGUAGCCGACCUGAGAGGGUGACCGGCCACAUUGGGACUGAGACACGGCCCAA
rnacentral:rRNA from 1 species